AGACACUUCCUUACGGUCUCGCGGCUCUGAGAGUACGAGGGCAAGGCAGGCAGCAGUUGUCUCUGAAGCAGGACGGGAUGAUGACCAAGAGUCUGGACUGACUCAUGGGCCCCGAAGACUCCCCAGGCUGCUGAAGGAGGGGUCCCAGAGUGUGUGCACAACCAGAGUGCGAACACUGCCACCCACGGUCCCCUUUCCCCUGUCCAUCUCUCCACCUGGGCCAGGAAAAAAAACAGGAACACCAAAA
rnacentral:lncRNA from 1 species